rnacentral:rRNA from 1 species
UACGUAGGGUGCAAGCGUUAAUCGGAAUUACUGGGCGUAAAGCGUGCGCAGGCGGUUGUGCAAGACCGAUGUGAAAUCCCCGGGCUUAACCUGGGAAUGGCGAUGGAUACUGGCUCGCUAGAGUGCGGUAGAGGAGAGUGGAAUUCCCGGUGUAGCAGUGAAAUGCGUAGAGAUCGGGAGGAACAUCAGUUGCGAAGGCGGCUCUCUGGACCAGCACUGACACUGAGGCACGAAAGCGUGGGGAGCAAACAGG